ACGCGCGAAACCUUACCUACCCUUGACAUCCUCGGAACCCUCUGGAGACAGAGGGGUGCCUUCGGGAACCGAGAGACAGGUGCUGCAUGGCUGUCGUCAGCUCGUGUUGUGAAAUGUUGGGUUAAGUCCCGUAACGAGCGCAACCCCUGUCCCUAUUUGCCAGCACGUGAUGGUGGGAACUCUAGGGAGACUGCCGGUGACAAACCGGAGGAAGGUGGGGACGACGUCAAGUCAUCAUGGCCCUUACGGG
rnacentral:rRNA from 1 species